UACGUAGGGUGCAAGCGUUAUCCGGAAUUAUUGGGCGUAAAGAGCUCGUAGGCGGUUUGUCGCGUCUGCUGUGAAAACUGGAGGCUCAACCUCCAGCCUGCAGUGGGUACGGGCAAACUGGAGUGCGGUAGGGGAGAUUGGAAUUCCUGGUGUAGCGGUGGAAUGCGCAGAUAUCAGGAGGAACACCGAUGGCGAAGGCGGGUCUCUGGGCCGAUACUGACGCUGAGGAGCGAAAGCGUAGGGAGCGAACAGG
rnacentral:rRNA from 1 species